UGGGGAAUCUUAGACAAUGGGCGCAAGCCUGAUCUAGCCAUGCCGCGUGGACGAUGAAGGCCCUAGGGUUGUAAAGUCCUUUCGCUGGGGAAGAUAAUGACUGUACCCAGUAAAGAAGCCCCGGCUAACUCCGUGCCAGCAGCCGCGGUAAUACGGAGGGGGCUAGCGUUGUUCGGAAUUACUGGGCGUAAAGCGCACGUAGGCGGAUCGGCAAGUUAGGGGUGAAAUCCCGGGGCUCAACCCCGGGAACUGCCUUUAAAACUGCAGGUCUAGAGUUCGAGAGAGGUGAGUGGAAUUCCGAGUGUAGAGGUGAAAUUCGUAGAUAUUCGGAGGAACACCAGUGGCGAAGGCGGCUCACUGGCUCGAUACUGACGCUGAGGUGCGAAAGCGUGGGGAGCAAAC
rnacentral:rRNA from 1 species